GAUGAACGCUGGCGGCGUGCCUAAUACAUGCAAGUCGAGCGAACAGAUGAGGAGCUUGCUCCUCUGACGUUAGCGGCGGACGGGUGAGUAACACGUGGAUAACCUACCUAUAAGACUGGGAUAACUUCGGGAAACCGGAGCUAAUACCGGAUAAUAUAUUGAACCGCAUGGUUCAAUAGUGAAAGACGGUUUUGCUGUCACUUAUAGAUGGAUCCGCGCCGCAUUAGCUAGUUGGUAAGGUAACGGCUUACCAAGGCAACGAUGCGUAGCCGACCUGAGAGGGUGGUCGGCCACACUGGAACUGAGACACCGUCCAGACUCCUACAGGGAGCAGCAGUAGGGAAUCUUCCGGAAUGGGCGAAAGCCUGACGGAGCAACGCCACGUGAGUGAUUAAAGUCUUCGGAUCGUAAAACUCUGUUAUUAAGGAAGAACAAAUGUGUAAGUAACUAUGCACGUCUUGACGGUACCUAAUCAGAAAGCCACGGCUAACUACGUG
rnacentral:rRNA from 1 species